AUGGCCCCCUCCGCCGGCGAUUCCGCCGCCGCCGCCACAGUUCCGCGGUACCCUGCUUGGGUUCUCCUCGAAAAGAAGGGGUACGACGACGACCGCGAGGACGCCACCAGCGCUUCGUGCAAGACAACCACCGGUCGCGACGUCCGGGUGGCCUUCUACCUCGUGCCUCUGCCGGAGAUCUCCUACUUCCACGUCCACCUCUCCAAGCUCGAGGGCGAGGACGACUUCGACUUCAUGCCCCUGUUUCUCUUCUCGGCCAAGGGCCUCUUCCUCUUCCGUAUCCUCUUCGUCACCCGAAGCGACGGAAGCAAUCUCGUCGAGUACUUCAUCUACAAGGCCGGGCGCGGCGGCGGCCCGUCGCUCGAACCCAUCCCGCCAACUCCUCUGGGCAGCAGCAGGGAUUCGGUAUCCGUGGGCAUCGUCCCCUGCCCCGACGACGCCGAGGGCAGCUACGUCCUCGCCGAUCUCUCCGUUGGGAGUGAAAUUGGGCACUACGACCUCCACCUUUACUCUUCCAAGACUUGCAAAUGGAGCACCACGCCGUUGCAGCCGCCGGCAUCUCCUACGGUCUGGGGAGAUGAUGACCUGCCCUGUCAAUUCCACAAGGUUCUCCCGCUUGGAGCAGAUGAGCUAGGCUGGGUGGACCUCUGGCGCGGCAUUGUCACCUGCAAGGUGCUUGAUAGUGACCCACUUCUCCGGCUCAUCCCUCUCCCCAAACCUGAAAUUAGCAAUCCCCUUCUACUUGCAGGGGACGUGGGGUUGCUCCAGGAUGUCACCUACUGCAGUGGGAUCUUUAAGUUCGUUGAGAUCGAUCAUUUCUGCAUACCGGCUAUUGCUCGUGAUGAAACUUCUGAUAUCAUCUCCAAGACGAUGAAGGAUUUCGACAGCAACGAUAUCAUAUAUGAUUCAGAGCUCAUCUAUCCUGUUGUAAAGCAAGUGGAACCUAUUAUUGUCCCUGAUGGUUGGAAGAUCCACUCAUAUUUUAGGUUUCCUUCACGGGACUAUUGGCUCAGGGCCCAUGCUGUCCAUGUUGAUGACAUCUCCGAGUAUGACCCAAAGUAUUCUAUGGUGUCGUCUCAGUGGCUUGCUAUUGCUGAAAAGUCGACAUUGAGGAACCUGAAACCGUAUGACCCGACCUUUGGCAUUCAUGGUGACACUACUGUCUACCUUAUAGCGAAGGUGAAACCUGAAGAUCACAAGUCAUGGAUUGUUGGUGUCGACAUUGAAAAGAAGAUGUUGAGACUAAUUCAACCAUAUACUUACUCGGAAGGUGGCUACGCUCUACCAGCCGUACUCCCCUCUACAUUCUCCUAUUAUCUGAAUACACAACUCCAGAUCCAUGGUGAUUCCUCUGUGCCUGAUAUGCGUUACGGUCCAUUGUCAUGUGCUGGUGAAGCCACAUCUGCACCAAGUGGAACAUUGAAUUUCGAGGAAACCAAUCAGGUACUGAGUUCGGAUGAAUGCAGUAAUAGAGGGCAGACCGUUAUACUACAGUCCCUUCAUGCCAUUGUGGUCUCAUCAGGAUCAGAAUCAGGCUAUUUUGACCCGACGAAGAAACCAGUGGUGAAGACUAGAGAAGACGGCAAACAAUGGCUCUCCUUGCCGCUGGGUCGCCACUUCUCAAACCCUUCGGGGCCAGAGCUGAAGCUGCUCAAGUCACUGAUGUCCCACCAGCCAAUGGUCCCAGCCUUGCUGAAGCAUUGGGGUUCGGACAACAUUUAUCAGUUUCCGAACAUCCCCAUCUUUUCUGAGGUGCUGCCGCCUGUAACUGUCCUUGACUGUGGCCUACGCAAUCUAGCACAACUCCGCCAGUGA
rnacentral:rRNA from 1 species